AGGGCUCCCAGAGGCUAGGACGGACACAGCCAUGUCAGAGCUGGUGCCCGAGCCCAGGCCUAAGCCGGCGGUGCCCAUGAAGCCGGUCAGCAUCAACUCCAACCUACUAGGCUACAUUGGCAUUGACACCAUUAUCGAACAGAUGCGCAAGAAGACCAUGAAGACUGGUUUUGACUUCAACAUCAUGGUCGUUGGCCAGAGUGGACUGGGCAAGUCGACGCUGGUCAACACACUAUUCAAGUCUCAAGUGAGCCGGAAGGCCUCCAGCUGGAACCGGGAGGAGAAGAUCCCGAAGACAGUGGAGAUCAAAGCGAUUGGGCAUGUGAUAGAGGAAGGUGGUGUCAAAAUGAAGCUGACGGUCAUCGACACGCCAGGCUUUGGAGACCAGAUCAACAAUGAAAACUGCUGGGAGCCCAUUGAGAAGUACAUCAAUGAACAGUAUGAAAAGUUCCUGAAAGAGGAGGUUAAUAUUGCCAGGAAGAAGCGCAUCCCUGACACCCGGGUCCACUGCUGCCUCUACUUCAUCUCCCCAACGGGACACUCCUUACGACCACUUGAUCUUGAGUUCAUGAAACACCUCAGCAAAGUGGUGAACGUCAUUCCUGUCAUUGCCAAGGCUGACACCAUGACCCUGGAGGAGAAGUCUGAAUUCAAGCAGAGGGUUCGCAAAGAGCUUGAAGUAAACGGCAUUGAGUUCUACCCUCAGAAGGAGUUUGAUGAGGAUUUGGAGGACAAGACAGAGAAUGACAAAAUCCGGCAGGAGAGCAUGCCCUUCGCGGUGGUGGGGAGUGACAAGGAGUACCAAGUGAAUGGCAAGAGGGUCCUCGGGAGAAAAACACCCUGGGGGAUCAUCGAAGUCGAAAACCUCAACCACUGUGAGUUUGCCCUGCUUCGAGACUUCGUCAUCAGGACUCACCUCCAGGACCUCAAAGAAGUAACACACAACAUCCACUAUGAAACUUACAGGGCCAAGAGGCUCAAUGACAAUGGAGGCCUCCCUCCGGGAGAAGGCCUCCUGGGCACUGUCCUUCCACCUGUGCCAGCCACCCCCUGCCCCACUGCUGAAUGA
rnacentral:lncRNA from 1 species